rnacentral:lncRNA from 1 species
GUGAUGGGUGGCAGGAAUAAACGUUCACGAACAAACACACUUCAGUGCUGUCACUUUAUGAUGGAUUGGCACACUAUGAGCAUAUCCGUAACUACAGAACGCAGAGGGGGAAAUAGAUUCAUGUGGAACUUUUCACGUCUCUGCUCUGCGGCUUUGCCAUGGCUUCUUGUUCACUUUGCAACCGGAGGGUAAAUCUGUUUUCCUUUUUUUCGUUUUAAAUGAGCAACAUU